UCCUUCUUUUCCUUUCUCCAUUUUUCUCUUCUCUUCACUUCUUGUUUUUCAUCGCCCCGAUUCAGAACCCAGGCGAAGACAAGUUUUGGUGCUGGGAUUUAUGCCCAAUCGAUCUGAAGAUGCAACUUGGAGAUGGAAGCAGCUAUGUCUUCUGCGAGACAAGACUUCUCCACCUUUGAAGCUUGCUCUUGGCUUUAUUGCUUCUCACUAUGAAGAGUUAGAGUGAUUUCGAAGGAGUACCCACUACUUACGAGCUUAUUUCUUCACCUUGGGUGUUCAAUUCGGCUGCCGCAUUCUAUCGAACUGGUGUCGUGUUAUCAUUCUGUAGUAGCAAAGUACAAAGCAAGGACAUCAGCUGCAGUCAAAGUUCCAGAGUUUCAAAUUGAAGCUGAUUUGGUGAAGCCCCGUAGCUAGUCAAGGUGCAAUAUAAUCGUUGUCAUGCACAGUUUUAAUCAAUUGGAAAAUUCUCCUUGUGAAGACUUGGAAAGGUGGCUUUUUCAUAUGCUUCUUUGUCCUCUUCCUUGAUUAAACUUGAUUGAACCUUCAUAAUUAAUAGCACCGCCAAGCUGCUUUUUCUUUAGCUUUUCUAUGGUGGCAAGUUCAAGCCUUUAUCAUCUUUGUCUUGUGCAUAUAUUAACAUAAUCUCCAUGUGUGGUCUGCAAUACCCUGACUGCAAAGCAUAUGAGGCUGGAGCAAAUUUGGAGCCAAGCAUCUUUGACACGUUGCUGGGAACUUGAGAGUAAGCAUCAUGCUAUUGGAACUUGAGAGAGAGCAAGAACGCCGCUGGGAUUUUAAGAGAACAAGGACUGCGUCGGUGGUAUUUGGAGGGCCAACAAGAGAAAAGGGAUUUGAAAGAGCAAGGCCUGCAUCACUGGGAUUGAUUUAAGAGAGCAAAGCCUUCUGCCCGGAUUUGAGUUCAUCGGGACGCUGCCCGGCAUGAGUCCAUCGGGACGCUGCCCGGCAUGGUUCAUCGGGACGCUGCCCGGCAUGGUCAUCGGAGACGCUGCUCCAGCAUGGUUCAAAGAGGAGGUGGAGCUUGUGAACAUUCAAGAGAAGGUGGAGCAUGGAAGGGAGGGAAUCUCAACCUUUGUGGUGUCUUGGAUAUCUCUCCGAACUUCGUCUUCCAAGCUGCUUCUUGCCUUCACUGCUUUUCCACGCUGCUAUUCUCCUUCUUUUUUUCCACGCUGAUGUGCCUUGCCUCCUCCUGUUGUCCUCUCCACGUUGCGGCCCUCCCUCUUUUUAUUUUCAUGUGGUGAUUAUAUACUGUACCUGAGAUGAGUUUGGCUUGUAUACAACACAGAGGGUUUUAGAGUUCAACUUGAAGUGAACUUGUUGGACAUUUUAUCUCCUUUUUCUUUUGACGUGAAGACUGCAGCUUCUUUUUCAAUUGCUUGUCUAGACUUUGAAACAAGCUAGAAGUCAGCAGCUUAAUUGUUUCUUUUGUUUAAA